GCGUGGGUGAGGGUUGGCGUGCCGGUUGGCGUUGCUGUGAUAGGUUCCUCUGUGAUCUGUGUAAUCUACUAUCUUUUGUACAAAAGGCAGGCCGCACGGAGAAACAACCUGGGAGGAUCUGAACUGAACUCUCAGGGUCAACAGAGUCAUCCUGAAACAAACCCUUCAUUGGGACCCUGCUAUGGCAUCACCAAUGACAUCAGAACUGACAACACUGACUACAGGGAAUCAGAAACAUAGAACACAGACUAGAGGCCAUUUUGAUAUUUAUAUUUUGAUAUGAUAUUUAUAUUAAUAUUUUGUUAACAUAUCAACAAUAACACAAAAGGGUCAUUGCACGGUGGGUGCAAACAUUUUUCUAUGAACAGGUGCAUUCAAUUGUACCGUUUACUUGUAUCCAUUGUGUUUCUUUAAUAACGAGUUUCGAGUUUCCUAGGUUGAUUUUUGAGUUGUUCUUUUGAAACUGACAGUACAUCUCUCACACAGCGGAGAGAUUCCUAUUUAUUCCCAGUGUUUUCGUUGCUCUCUUGUGUCUGUGUUUGAUUUUAAUAA